rnacentral:rRNA from 1 species
ACGGGAGGCAGCAGUGGGGAAUAUUGCACAAUGGGCGAAGGCCCGAUGCAGCGACGCCGCGUGAGUGAAGAAGUAUUUCGGUAUGUAAAGCUCUAUCAGCAGGGAAGAAAAAUGGCGGUACCUGACUAAGAAGCACCGGCUAAAUACGUGCCAGCAGCCGCGGUAAUACGUAUGGUGCAAGCGUUAUCCGGAUUUACUGGGUGUAAAGGGAGCGCAGGCGGUACGGCAAGUCUGAUGUGAAAGCCCGGGGCUCAACCCCGGUACUGCAUUGGAAACUGUCGAACUAGAGUGUCGGAGGGGUAAGUGGAAUUCCUAGUGUAGCGGUGAAAUGCGUAGAUAUUAGGAGGAACACCAGUGGCGAAGGCGGCUUACUGGACGAUAACUAACGUUGAGGCUCGAAAGCGUGGGGAGCAAACAGGAUUAGAUACCCUGGUA